rnacentral:ncRNA from 1 species
CUUAAUUAUUGUUUUAAUAUUUUUAUUAAAAACUUUAUAUUUAAAACUUGUGUUCCUUUUUUUUGUAGAUCUAAUAUUUAUAAGAAGUCUAUAAUUUUUUUAUUUAGUGAAAUCUUUUAAAGAGUUUUUUAAAGAAAUAAUAAACUUGGUGCCAGCAAUUGCGGUUAAACUAAUGUUUUAAAGAAUAUUUAUUAAGGAAAAUAAUUGGUAAAUUAUAAAUUUUUAUAUAGGUGAAAUUUUUUAUAUUUAGUAUAUUUUUAAUAUUUUUAAAAAAUAAGGUUAGGACUAGGAUUAGAUACCCUAUUACACUUAUUUAGGAGUCCUUGAAAGAUUAAAUAUAAAAUUUGAAAAUUUGGCGGCUUUUUUAUUUAGAGGAACUUGUCUAUUAAAUUGAUAAACCUCAAUAGUUUGGUUUUUAAAUUUAAUUUUGUAUACCAUCAUUUAAAUAAUUUUGAAAUAAUCAAUUAUUAAAAAUUUUUUUAAAGAAAUUAGAUCAAGGUGCAGAUAUAUUUAAAAUUAGAUUAGUUACAAUAAUUUUUUAUACAGUGUCAAGUAAAGUUUUGGUAAAAGGUGGAUUUAAAUGUAAUAUAUCAAUACAUAUAUGAAAAUUAAUAAUCUAGUGUACAAAUUGCCCGUCACUCUCUUUGAGAUAAGUCGAAACAAAGUAGAAGUACCUGAAGGUGUUUCU